AUUGAACGCUGGCGGAAUGCUUUACACAUGCAAGUCGAACGGUAGAGGGGGCAACCCCUCGAGAGUGGCGAACGGGUGAGUAAUAUAUCGGAACGUGCCCAGUCGUGGGGGAUAACGUAGCGAAAGUUACGCUAAUACCGCAUACGAUCUAAGGAUGAAAGCGGGGGACCGUAAGGCCUCGCGCGAUUGGAGCGGCCGAUAUCAGAUUAGGUAGUUGGUGAGGUAAAGGCUCACCAAGCCAACGAUCUGUAGCUGGUCUGAGAGGACGACCAGCCACACUGGAACUGAGACACGGUCCAGACUCCUACGGGAGGCGGCAGUGGGGAAUUUUGGACAAUGGACGCAAGUCUGAUCCAGCCAUUCCGCGUGCAGGAUGAAGGCCCUCGGGUUGUAAACUGCUUUUGUACGGAACGAAAAGGUCUCUCCUAAUACGAGGGGCUCAUGACGGUACCGUAAGAAUAAGCACCGGCUAACUACGUGCCAGCCGCCGCUGUAA
rnacentral:rRNA from 1 species